rnacentral:snRNA from 1 species
CUGGUCAGUAUGAUCCCA